CGUCAUCCUGUGGGAGCUGGGGGAGAGAGGGAACAAGUUAAAAGGGGAGGACCGAGAAGUCUGGCUUAGCACAGGAUGACGGGAAACCAGCCCCUCUGUGGUAGACCCUGACUCAGAGCUGUGUGUGGUGGGAACACAAGAGGGAACGUGGCCCUGCCAUGGGACCCUCCUUCACGGCCCAUCAGAACCCCUAGGUGGCUCCUCUACCCCCAGCCCUGUGUUUGAGACAUGGCUCUGGUUUGGGCACCACUCUCCUGCCUCUGAGACACAGUGUGCUAUGGGACCAGGCCCUGUGCCAAGUGCUCCAUAGCUUCUAGGGGCUGGUGUGGGGGUAGGAUUUACUUCCCUUGUAAGCCCUCUCCCAAACACUUUCCCCAGCUCAGGCCCCACGCAUCCUGGGCAAGACAUACCAGAAGUAUGGUCCAGGCAGACAGGAGCAGAGUGAGCCCACAGAGGUGGAGAGAGAAAGAAGAAAGUGAUCAGCACUUCUUGCAGAUGCAGAAGCAGCAGGUGAGAAGCAGGAGCCCAGCAACCACAGCAAUGGCGAUCAGUGCCCAGGGUGGUACUGCCCACACAGAGAAGAUCCCGGGGUCAGCAGUGCCAUGCCUUGCAGCCCCUGACCCCGUAGCAUUGGCAAAAAUGGGUGAGGAAUAUGACUGCCAUCCCACAAUGCCCACACCCCACAUUUUAAAAGCCACAUACCCAUGAGUGAUUUGUAUGUAAGGUGCAUAUACUUUGCAUGCCUUUUCAUUCAUGCCUUGCUUUUUUUUUUUUUUUUUUUUUUUGCCUACUGUCCUUGUUGGUAUAGCCUGCUAGCGGAGAGGUAGCAACCAGGUGUAUGCAUGGAAGAAUAUCAGUUUAGCUCUACUGAGUUUUACUAGUGUGAUCUAUGGAGGACUGGCUCACUCUAGAGAGGAUGGGAUGAUGCUUAUCAGUUCUUUGGCCUCUGCCCCUUGUGCCAAGUCUUGAGAGGGCUGUUGCAUAGCCAGAUAGGCAGGCCAAGCUCCUUGAGUCUAGACCUAGACCACUGCUGGGCUUUGCAAAACCCAACUGGGGAUGGGUCCUGGGCUGCUCUCUGUGGUUCUGAAGCACCAUCUCCCACCAGUGUAGCUGCUCCCCCUUAAUCUGCAUCUCUGGUGUCUCCUAUAGAGCCUCUGCCAGAAAUUCAAAAGCAGAGAGGGCUUUUAUUUUCUAUCUUCCAAAAUAAAUUUCAAAGUAUUAUUGGCAAA